CCCAAACAUGCUGUUUCAAAACGUAAGUCCAUGAAGAGUCUCGUGGUGAGAAAGACAGAAUUCCUAGCCAGGAAAAUGCCCCGUGCUUGCCCCUUGGAGGCAGGUGCUCACCACGGCAGGGUCUAUCUAGGUGUUUAUUAAGGUGUCUCACCACGUAUCGCCCGGAUUCACCAGAGAUGCAGAGGCGGAGGAUACGUUCCUGUUUACAUUGAUACAUAGUUACAUAGGUGAAGAGCUUUACAGUGAGGAAGCGGCUCACGCGGCCAUGAGGGACCCAGGCAGGAGCUGCUGUUGCUGCCCCAGCAGCAACUCCACGAGUGCUCGAUGGGAAACUGCAGACAGCAGCCUUGCCAAGCGGAUGCCCAGGGCCGACCACCGCAGCCCCUCCAGCCACGUUCUCCAUCAGGGCAGCCUCCUGCUGGCUUCGGCACUGCAGGUAGCACACCAGCGAGGGGUGGGCCUGUGUGCCACGAAGCGUCAUCCAUGGACGUGCCACGAAGGGUUAUUCUUCUUUUGACUUUUUCUGAUGGUUUAAAACUGUAAGAACACACAGCUCACAGUCCACACGGAAGCAGGCAUGUGGCUCCUGCCUCACUGUGGGAGGAAAGAUGUUCUCAAAAGAAAUGGCUGGGUUUGCGGAGGGGUUUGUGGAGGGCCGGGCAGUCUGAACACAGCCCAGCUGGCCUUGGUGGAGGUGGGCCUGGCACAGGGGGGUGGGAGCAGUUCUUCCUGACGCAAAUCCUAACGCCUUCAACACUGACCUUCCAAAGAAACAGCUGCUGGACGCCGCCCGACAGCAACGAGAGCCCCACUCCUGAGGCGCGCGACUCUCGAGGGCUUUGUUGUUUAUUUGGCACCCGAGGCCCAGGCUCACAGGGUCUCGGGUGCAUGGGACCCCCCAGCCCUUCCCACUGCUCUGCGAUUCUUCCUCCCUUCUGGAAAGGCUGUUUGUGGGAGAACGGGAAACAGUCCCAGAGAUGACGCUGCCUCAUGCAGGUUAACAGAGUUGGAGGUCAGGCCGACGCCUGAGGCUCAGGACGCUGAUGGG
rnacentral:lncRNA from 1 species